AUGGAAAAAUAAAUGUAUGUGUUGCAAUUUAGCAUCCUCCUCUUAGGAAUUUUAUAUUUGAGAAAUUUCUAGUGAGUGAGGAUGUUAAUUUUUGGCACAAAUCAUCGUCAGACUUUUU
rnacentral:precursor_RNA from 15 species